rnacentral:tRNA from 1 species
AUUAGCUCAAUUGGUAGAGCAACUGACUCUUAAUCAGUGAGUUCGGGGUUCGAGUCCCUGAU